UGGCCGAGUGGUCUAAGGCGAUAGACUAGAAAUCUAUUGGGGUCUCCCCGCACAGGUUCAAAUCCUGU
rnacentral:tRNA from 1 species